rnacentral:rRNA from 1 species
GACGUAGGGCGCGAGCGUUGUCCGGAUUUAUUGGGCGUAAAGAGCUCGUAGGCGGCUUGUCGCGUCGACUGUGAAAACCCACGGCUCAACUGUGGGCUUGCAGUCGAUACGGGCAGGCUAGAGUUCGGUAGGGGAGACUGGAAUUCCUGGUGUAGCGGUGAAAUGCGCAGAUAUCAGGAGGAACACCGGUGGCGAAGGCGGGUCUCUGGGCCGAUACUGACGCUGAGGUGCGAAAGCGUGGGGAGCAAACAGG